AGAGUGAACGCUGGCGGUAGGCCUAACACAUGCAAGUCGAACGGCAGCACAGUGGUAGCAAUACCAUGGGUGGCGAGUGGCGGACGGGUGAGGAAUACAUCGGAAUCUACCUUUUCGUGGGGGAUAACGUAGGGAAACUUACGCUAAUACCGCAUACGCCCUUUGGGGGAAAGCCGGGGAUCGCAAGACCUGGCGCGGAUAGAUGAGCCGAUGUCGGAUUAGCUAGUUGGUGAGGUAACGGCUCACCAAGGCGACGAUCCGUAGCUGGUCUGAGAGGAUGAUCAGCCACACUGGAACUGAGACACGGUCAGACUCCGAGGG
rnacentral:rRNA from 1 species